UACGUAGGGUGCGAGCGUUAAUCGGAAUUACUGGGCGUAAAGCGUGCGCAGGCGGUUCGUUGUGUCGGCGGUGAAAGCCCCGGGCUUAACCUGGGAAUGGCCGUUGAAACUGGCGAACUGGAGUCUGGCAGAGGGGGGUAGAAUUCCACGUGUAGCAGUGAAAUGCGUAGAGAUGUGGAGGAACACCGAUGGCGAAGGCAGCCCCCUGGGUCAAGAUUGACGCUCAUGCACGAAAGCGUGGGGAGCAAACAGG
rnacentral:rRNA from 1 species